rnacentral:rRNA from 1 species
AACGAACGCUGGCGGCAGGCUUAACACAUGCAAGUCGAGCGCCCCGCAAGGGGAGCGGCAGACGGGUGAGUAACGCGUGGGAAUCUACCCAUCUCUACGGAAUAACGCAUGGAAACGUGUGCUAAUACCGUAUACGUCCUUCGGGAGAAAGAUUUAUCGGAGAUGGAUGAGCCCGCGUUGGAUUAGCUAGUUGGUGGGGUAAAGGCCUACCAAGGCGACGAUCCAUAGCUGGUCUGCGAGGAUGAUCAGCCACACUGGGCCUGAGACACGGCCCAGACUCCUACGGGAGGCAGCAGUGGGGAAUAUUGGACAAUGGGCGCAAGCCUGAUCCAGCCAUGCCGCGUGAGUGAUGAAGGCCCUAGGGUUGUAAAGCUCUUUCACCGGUGAAGAUAAUGACGGUAACCGGGGAAGAAGCCCCGGCUAACUUCGUGCCAGCAGCCGCCGUAACAC